AGACGUAGCCGCCCUGCGGAUCUCAGUCAUGGAAUAACCUGAUCUCCUUCCUGAAUUUUCCUUGUUAUAUCUGAGGGCGUUUGUGCUUCUGAGUGCAGGGAAGCUUGUGGAAAAAAGCUGCUGUGAGCAGAUCUGGCUUCUGCCUGCAACGUGAUCCCAGGGCUACGAAACUGCUGCUGCUUUUCCACUUGUCACCUGCAAGGUGAAGAUAGCCUGCUACCCAAACGGCAGUGUCCCUCUGAGCUGAGUGAGGAGCUGGAAAUCACUAGGGUUAGACAGCCUACAGCUGCGAGGUUGGCCUGCAGGAGUGGUGGCAGGGAGCGGGGUGGAGUCGCAGCUCUAUCAAGAAAGCAGGAACUGGCUGAGUUUGCAGAGUCUGAACGAUGAAGCAGGUGUCUACACGCUCUGGAGCCUGUCCUCAGCUGGCUUGAGCUGUAUCAACCCCAGCAGCAGAAAGCCGGGCUCACCUGGGAGCUUAGAUGGACUUUGGGUACCACUGCCAGCCGGAUCAUCCCCUACCACGCAACUGGAAGACACUGAUACAGCACAAAUCUGCAUUUAACCACUUCACUAACACAGGAUCGAUGUGCGCUGGUGUGAUUUGUGCAGACUGGGUCACAUCUCUCCAGGAAAAGCACCCCAAGGACCAGUGUGAAGUGAAACACAUCAUGGAGGUUACACUCAAGAAGUGAUUUGUUAAUUAAUCACUGCUGACUCCUGGAACACAGGGAAUGGAGCCCAUGUUCUGUUAGCACAGUGCCUGGAACUGAGGAUUGCAGGAACGCUAGAUAACACCCUAUCUUGUGUAUCUCGGGCUGUUCCAUAUGUCUAAUAGGAAAGUCAAAUGGCUUUAGUACAAACUCUUGCCUUCUGUGAAUGAGAAGAGAGGAGGAGCUCGGCCAACCUGCCUUAACUUCCCUCCAGGUGUGAUGCCAGCUGUGAGUGUUUCUUUGGCAGUGUCUUAGCUGGUUGUUGUGAACAAUAGUCAAGGAAGCAAUCAGCAAGUAUACUGCCCUAGAAGUGCUACACAUUGUUGGGCCUGCCUCAUUUCCCUGGCUCGAGAGGUGGAUGGGGAUCCAGGUUGGGAUGCUGCCCUGUGUUGCACUGGAGCUUGAAGUGUCUGCUGGAGCAGAGGGCCAAUGGCAGAAAUGCCACAGGAUGCUUGAUGAUGUGAUCAUUGCAUCGGAGGUGAGAGGAAGAGAAAAGAAGACAAAUGUGUUGCAAGUUGCUUUGCCCUUUCUUUGUCCUUCCCACAUGCAUCUUUCUGAGAGUAAAAUAGCUAUUGUAGUAACACUGCAAAAAUGCAACGCUGGGCAUUGGGAGAAGGGCCUGCUCAUAGGAAGAAUUCAUCCAAGCCCCAGUCUCUGGCUGGCAAUGACAAGCUAACCUGGCUUUGAACUUGGAAUGGGAGCAACUCGCCUGUAGUCACUGUUUCUCUUGGGUGCUGGUCAGCAGCUAAGCAUUGCAAAUACACGGAGUCAGGUGCCCAAACACUCGGCUGAAUUCCUGGGAAAGAAUUAGUUAGAUUUUAAUUAUGCAAUGAGACUUCUUACCUUGUCUGGCUAAGAGGGGGCCCUCCUAAAUAAGAGGUGUUUCUAGAAAGGACAAAUCCACAAUAUGGGGACAAAUCACCCCAACCUUGGAAGAAGGGAAGUCCUUGCCUACAUCUAGUUUAAUUUUCCAAUACUCACACACACAGAGGACAAGAGCUUACAUCAAUUUUGAUCAAACCAAGUUGCUUCUCUUUUUAUCUCUAUUGCUCUCGCUGAUUUGACGUAAACUGGGUGUCAUAAUCCAGGGUCAUAAUCCAGCUCUUAACCAAGCUAGCUAUGGCUCUGGUUGCCACAUUUCUGUAUGCCUUUCCUUUUUCCCCAGACAUGAACAUAAUUGCACCGGUUACAGGGAGUUGUUAACUGUCUGUACUCAGAAGGUAAUGGAUGGCCAGAAGGGAGCACAGCAUCCUUCUGUUGCCAGUCUUCUGAAACUUCACCUCUGCCUUUGCAGGGUGUUUGUCACAGAGCAGAUAUUUUGAGCUCAUGCAUCAGAUUUCCUGAUAAAAUACCACUGUUCUAUGGCUUUUUGCUUUCAGGUUUUUUCCUCUCUAUGGAGCCAAAGAUGACCAUCAGUUCCAAGCUUUUUGAGGAGACGCA